CAACCUGGUUGAUCCUGCCAGUUAGUCAUAUGCUUGUCUCAAAGAUUAAGCCAUGCAUGUCUAAGUAUAAGCUGUUAUACUGUGAAACUGCGAAUGGCUCAUUAAAUCAGUUAUAGUUUAUUUGAUGGUACCUACUACUCGGUAUAACCGUAGUAAUUCUAGAGCUAAUACGUGCAGCAAGUCCCGACUCCUU
rnacentral:rRNA from 1 species